GACGAACGCUGGCGGCGUGCUUAACACAUGCAAGUCGAACGGAAAGGCCCCUUUGGGGGUACUCGAGUGGCGAACGGGUGAGUAACACGUGAGUAACCUGCCCUUGACUUCGGGAUAACUUCAGGAAACUGGGGCUAAUACCGGAUAGGAAUCCUUGCUGCAUGGUGGGGGUUGGAAAGCUUCGGCGGUUUUGGAUGGAAUCGCGGCUUAUCAGCUUGUUGGUGGGGUAGUGGCUUACCAAGGCUUUGACGGGUAGCCGGCCUGAGAGGGCGACCGGCCACAUUGGGACUGAGAGACGGCCCAGACUCCUACGGGAGGCAGCAGUGGGGAAUAUUGCACAAUGGGCGGAAGCCUGAUGCAGCAACGCCGCGUGCGGGAUGACGGCCUUCGGGUUGUAAACCGCUUUCAGCAGGGGCGAAGCUUGUGGUGACGGUACCUGCAGAAGAAGCACCGGCUAACUACGUG
rnacentral:rRNA from 1 species